UACUACCCGGUGAAAUUAAUUUACUCGUUACAGACCAAAAAUGAAGUAGUGAAAAUUUUGCCGUAAAAACAAGUUCGCAAGCCAUUUGUUUACUUCGUUGUUACACCAUUUCUCCCAUAAAGUUGAGUGUGAAGAUAAUGGAAGAUGUUGGGACUGAUACUGCUGCUCCAGAGUCACCAUUAGCAAAGUGGAGAAAUGAAUUUUCGAGGAAGUUUCAGUUUUAUUUGGAUAGGUCCGGUCCCCAUAUGGCUCGUAGGUGGCUUGUUACACUUGCUGCAGCAGCAAUAUACAUCUUGCGUGUUUAUUAUGCUCAGGGGUUUUAUGUCAUCUCAUAUGGCCUGUCAAUCUACAUCUUGAAUUUGUUGAUCGGGUUUAUGUCACCCAAGGUUGAUCCUGAGCUAGAAAUGCUGGAUGGGCCUUCUUCGCCUACUAGAGACUCUGAGGAGUUCAGGCCCUUUGUCCGUCGCCUUCCUGAAUUUUUGUUCUGGUAUGCAAUCACAAAAGCUUGUUGUGUUGCCUUCCUCUUAACCUUCUUCUCCAUGUUCGACGUCCCAGUGUUCUGGCCCAUUUUGUUCUUUUACUGGUUUUUCCUUUUCUUCCUCACAAUGAAGAGGCUAAUCACUCAUAUGAUCAAGUACAGAUAUCUCCCAUUCAGCUUGGGAAAGCAGAGGUACACUGGGAAAAGGCCUGCUCAAACUCAAAGCACCCGUGGUCUGUCAAAGGACUGAGUUCAUGUGCAGAAUCUGUACCAAUGGAAUUGUAGGUGAUAACAUUUUACUUGAAACAUGUACUUCUUAUAAAGUUAACUUGAUAGACAGUAACGAAUAAAUUAAGAUUGCUUGUAAUUAUCGUAAUUAAUCUUUUUUUUUUUCGUUGUAAGAUGUAAGAUGUAAGAUGAGUAUAUUGUUAAUGUCGAGAUAGUCAGUUUUACCAUAAGCAACACGAAAUUCCUGCUGAUAAGAUGGUUUGGCUGAGUAUGGAGUUUGUCUAAUUCAUUUUUGAUCGGUCGAUUCUUCUUUUCCACAUGUUUAACUUUGGUUGGUGCUAUUUGUGGAGGAAGAGCUCCAAAUUUUUUUUAGUAUUUGAAAAAUCCCUUUCACUCUAGAUUUCCAGAGAGACAAAUUGAUGCAUUAGAAGAUCUGAAGAUGAGUCGAGAGGCGGGGCUUGUCAUGGAAGUUUCUUAGUGAAUACCACUAGUUCAUUUUAUUUCAGCUUUUCGUUUUUAAUUUGGUUCCUUUUUUUAAUAGUGAAAAGCAUUUUCUGGUCUUAAACCCACCAUGCAAUUCUAGUCUUUGUUCUUCUGCAGCCGUCCCCAAACAUGUCUUAUUCUUCUUCUUAGGAUCGAAGAUCGAGCAUCUGUAACUCUUCCUUAUAAAGGUCAUGAAUACUAAGGUACAAAGCUUGUGGUAUUGAAGAUUUUACUUGAUGAACGAGAGAUUUUUUUUUUUCAAUAUACAUAUUCCAACUAAGCAUCAAAACUAUUUUAUUAUCGAAUUCUAUAAUGCGCGGUAUAAAUUGAAUUUAUUUUAAAAAAUAAAUUGGGGGUUUUUAAAAGUGAAAAAUGUGAGGUGAUCACAUUUUUUGGAAAAUGAUAAAAGUUGGGUGCAACAUCCACUAUUAACCUUACAGUAUACUCUCUCCGUCUCACUCCAAUAGGCUCACUUUUUUUGGGCACGGAGAUUAAGAAAAUUUAUUUUUUAGUAGGAAAGUGGUAGUAAAGUGGUGUGGUUCACACCGAUUAAGUACAAUUUUUUUAUACAAAAAAAAAAUGAGUUUAUUAGAGUGAGACGGGGGAGUACGUAUUAUAAACUAUUAAGCCUUGAGAGUGGUACCAGCCUUGAGAGUUGUACCACGGUAAUUCAGGUUGAACAGCAGCCAAAAUAGCAAUCUAUAAAUAUUGGUGUUGGCUUUUGUAACGAGAGAGAGAGAGAGAGUAAAAGUAUUGUGAUCUGAGUUCGUUGGAGUUUUGAAAGCAUAUUUGAGUUUUUAAUUGAAAAUUCUUUCAUUGUUUCCUAGCUCAACAAUAACAACAUAUUGACUUUGAGUCAAACAAUUGAAUUCGUAGUUUAUAAGUAAAAUCCACAAUAGAAGUUGCAGUAAGAAAUAAUAAUAGGAAGCAAUAAUCUUUGCUAUAAUUUUGGUAGAAGGUAUAGUUUUUUCAAUGUGAUCUCGAACCUCCAAUUUUUUCCCACUAGGAAUGUUUUCACAAAAUCGACAAGAUUACAUGUAGUUUUACAACAUCAAUAAUAAUACUCCCCCAGUUCAUGAAAAGUAUGAUACUUUUGUCAUUUUAGAUGUCCACCAAUUUUAUUAAAACUUGUGCUACAUAAAAGUGUUAUAUUUUUGGUGAACGUAAUAAUAAUAAUAACUUUAGAAGAGUAGAAAAAUAGACAGAUAGAUUCAUUAUUCAUUUCCCAAAUUAGGCAAACAAACAUUUUGAAGAAUCUCAACUAUACAAGUCUCACAGUAACCGGCCCCAAUAUACAAAUAUAUAUGCGGAAAAUAACAUAAUGCUUUAGACCUUGACUUAGCCAAUAAAACCCAUGACAGAAGGAUUCCAAAUCAUAUUACACAUACAUUUGGUGCAACAACUUCCAACAACCAAAUAAAAACUCCAAAGCAAAUAAAUAAAACUCGCAACCUAUAUAGUCCUUUAAAUUAUUUCCCAAAAUGAGCAGCUGAUAAUGUGAUUGGUUCUCAAACAUGGCCAGCUAAGACUAUGAUUUCCAUUGCAGUUAUAUAAAAACCCUUCCAUCCUCAGCUUUUUCAAUGGCUGCCAAAUUCUUUUGUCAGCAAUGAAUGUUAGAAUCUAUAUUGUCAUCUUGUUUUUCUGGGCUCUGCUUACCGCCGUCACUCCCACGCUUGUUCGCCUCGCUGCUUCUGCUAAUCUUCAAUCAAGAUUAGAUGAUGCAGGUGAAGGCAGGGAAGGGGUGAAGUUAUUGUUGCCGAGAAAGGCUCUUGCCGAAGCAAUAGUUUCAGUACCGGCAGUGGCACCGGCGACAGCACCUGCGGCGGCGAAGGUGUGGUUCUUGUUGAGUUGAGGGAUCAUUUUGGUCGGAAUAAAAUGAGUUUGCAUUGUGUGGAGCAGAUGCACCUACCUACCUGCCUUGAUUAAUUAAUUGUAAAUAAUACCCUUUCUUAGAAGGUAUGAUUAAUUUGUUGUUAUAGGAUCAUUAUUUAAUUUUUACAACAAUUCAUUUAUAGAAAUAUUUAU